rnacentral:rRNA from 1 species
UACGUAGGGUGCGAGCGUUGUCCGGAAUUAUUGGGCGUAAAGAGCUCGUAGGCGGUGUGUCACGUCGUUCGUGAAAACCUGCAGCUUAACUGUGGGCGUGCGGUCGAUACGGGCAUCACUGGAGUUCGGCAGGGGAGACUGGAAUUCCUGGUGUAGCGGUGAAAUGCGCAGAUAGCAGGAGGAACACCGGUGGCGAAGGCGGGUCUCUGGGCCGAUACUGACGCUGAGGAGCGAAAGCGUGGGGAGCGAACAGG